UACGUAGGGGGGCAAGCGUUGUCCGGAUUUAUUGGGCGUAAAGAGCGUGUAGGCGGCCAUACAGGUCAGCUGUGAAAACUCGAGGCUCAACCUCGAGACGUCGGUUGAAACCGUAUGGCUAGAGUCCGGAAGAGGAGUGUGGAAUUCCUGGUGUAGCGGUGAAAUGCGCAGAUAUCAGGAGGAACACCAAUGGCGAAGGCAGCACUCUGGGACGUGACUGACGCUGAGACGCGAAAGCGUGGGGAGCAAACAGG
rnacentral:rRNA from 1 species